rfam:Aspergillus ustus strain 3.3904 ATSC_103, whole genome shotgun sequence.
GGCAAGAUGGCCGAGCGGUUAAGGCGUUAGUUUAGAAAGCUAAUCCCUUCGGGGUCCUGAGUUCGAAUCUCAGUCUUGUCG